UGAAAGAUGCCACGCUAUGUAGA
rnacentral:miRNA from 1 species